rnacentral:lncRNA from 1 species
AAGCACCAAGUGGAUAAGGGGCCAGUGGACAGUGUGACAGGCAAGGCCAAAUACACCUUGAACGACAACCGCCUGCUCAGAGAGGAUGUGGAGUACCGUCCCCUGACCUUGAAUGCACUAUUGGCUGUGGGGCCUGGGGCAGGAGAGGCCCAGGGCGUGCCCGUGAAGGUCCUAGACUGUGACACCAUCUCCCAGGCAAAGGAGAAGAUGCUGGACCAGCUUUAUAAAGGAGUGCCUCUCACCCAGCGGCCAGACCCUCGCACCCUUGAUGUUGGUGAGGGCGUGGAGAGCCCCUGGGGACCUGAGCCACUGUUGGGCCUGGGCUGGCCCCGGACCAACUCUGCAGGGACAACUCAUCACUCAGGGUGGGGAGGAUGCUGGGAGGCAGGCAGAAGCUGGCUUUGGAACAUCUUUCUUGGACAGCCUCUCAUCUGGGGAGGGGGUCCCUGCUCUUGGUCUUUGGAGAGGUUGAGUAAGGCUGCCCCAUGAUGGAGGGGCUGGUGUCCCUGUGGAGGAGGAGAUGGGCUCCACUAUGGGAAGGGUAUCUUCCAGCCCUGCACCCAGUUCUGCCUUGCCCUUGCAGAGUGGCGGUCUGGGGUGGCCGGGCACCUCAUUCUUUCUGACGAGGAUGUCACUUCUGAGGUCCAGGGUCUGUGGAGGCGCCUGAACACACUGCAGCAUUACAAGGUCCCAGAUGGAGCAACUGUGGCCCUCGUCCCCUGCCUCACCAAGCAUGUGCUCCGGGAAAACCAGGAUUAUGUCCCUGGAGAGCGGACCCCAAUGCUGGAGGAUGUAGAUGAGGGGGGCAUCCGGCCCUGGCACCUGGUGAAGCCAA